rnacentral:rRNA from 1 species
UACGUAGGGGGCAAGCGUUGUCCGGAUUUAUUGGGCGUAAAGAGCUCGUAGGCGGUUGGGCAAGUCACGUGUGAAAUCUCCACGCUCAACGUGGAGGCGCCACGUGAGACUGCCCUGACUCGAGUCCGGUAGGGGAGCGUGGAAUUCCUGGUGUAGCGGUGAAAUGCGCAGAUAUCAGGAAGAACACCCGUGGCUAAGGCGGCUCUCUAGUACGGUACUGACGCUGAGACGCGAAAGCGUGGGGAGCGAACAGG